UACGGGGGGGGCAAGCGUUGUUCGGAAUUACUGGGCGUAAAGGGCUCGUAGGCGGCCAACUAAGUCCGACGUGAAAUCCCCAGGCUUAACCUGGGAACUGCGUCGGAUACUGGAUGGCUUGAAUUCGGGAGAGGGAUGCAGAAUUCCAGGUGUAGCGGUGAAAUGCGUAGAUAUCUGGAGGAACACCCAGGGGGAAACCAGUCGACUGGGCAUCUACUGACGCUGAGGUGCGAGAGCGUGGGGAGCGAACCGG
rnacentral:rRNA from 1 species